GCUGGCAUGGCUCAAUGGUUGAGCAUCUGUCUGUGAACCAGUCAUCAAGGUUUGGGCUCAAUCCCCAAGGCCGGGG
rnacentral:tRNA from 1 species